AAUAAAGCUUUGAUUGAACUUGUAAGUAAUUAAGCAUCUCUUUGUUUUCCACAAUGCACUUUUCGUGUUUAAUUAUUUCAGCCUCUUGGUUGCAUGAUCUUAACUCCUUAAAACUUUUUUAGUGAAAAAUGUUUUUGUGAGGAAGAAGGAUAAUUUUUCAUAACCCAGAGGUUUCUGGUAUUGUGAAUCUACCCUAGAGGUCAACUAGAUUAUUGAGUUUAU
rnacentral:misc_RNA from 1 species